UGCCUCCAGCUCCUUUUGUCUCAGUGAAAGUGUCAGUCGAAUGCAUCAGUGGGGUGAGGUGGGCAUACUGCUCAUCUGAGGGGAAUUCACUCUUCUUCAACUGGACUCUGAAUGGACAACCACUCGCACAAGAUAAUAAGACCACCAUUAAUCUGGAUGGGGAAACUUCUGGAAACCUCAUCUGCAGUGUGAAGAACCACAUCAGUCAUGCAGAAAAGAGCAUCACUGUAAACGAUUGUACUGGUUCAGUCUCUGGGACGUUUGUGAUAGUGUGGACCUUACAGAUGAUAAUUCUUCUGCUUCUGUUAGGAGGCUUUCACAUCUACAUCAGAAAGCGCACCAGCACACAAACACCAGG